rfam:Brassica oleracea var. oleracea cultivar TO1000 chromosome C3, whole genome shotgun sequence
CAGAAUGAAAACCAGGAGAAGGUGCACCAGAUUGUCCCGAAUAGGAACCAGCAAAGGAUCUGCCUGACCCAUCUGGCA